rnacentral:tRNA from 1 species
UUGGGGAUUCAGUGAUAGAAUCCUCGUCUUUCACACGGGUGACCUGGGUUCAAUUCCUGGCCGA